UUAUUUUUUUUAUGAUUACUUUUUUUGCGCAUUAUAUCGGAAUUUUUAUCGGAGCCUAAGCCCUGUUGUGUUUGUAGUUCGUUGUGCGCUCGCGAGGCAUAAAGUGCAUGUGGGGUUAUGUCAUCAUACCUUUAUCGUGUUCUUCAGUCAUGCAACAACAAGCAAACAACGCGAAUGGAAACAGAAAUAGAAACAGCAACAGCAACAGCAAUAACAAUAGCAACAAUAGCAGUAACAAAUUACAGUUGACAAAUGGCCAACAAGUGCAACUGCAACUGCAACAACAACAACAAUAGCAACAACGCAAAUGAUACCCAACGCACACUUACACUUUGUACAGGGUAUUAGAAAUGAAAAUAAAAAUCAACAGCAACAAAAUUAUAUUAACAAUUACAUAAAACCUUGAAGUACAGCGCUAAUACAUACACUUAUGCACACAUACAUAUACAUGUAAGUUGGAUUAACGGGCCUGGGAACUAAGCUGCCUUCGCCUUUUGCAUGGAAUCAGCAACAAGCCCAGGCGAAGACCAAGUGGCCGAACGGACAAUCGCUCAAGCUUGGCUAGUUGCUUGAUUAACCUUCCUUUUUUACUUUAACAACAUUCAUUGUUGUUGUUGUAGUUUUUUGUUUGUUUUUGUAUCGCGAGUUCAAGGCGCUUUGCAUAGGAAAUAAAUACGCUGGCAAUUACUGCAGCCAAUUCGACCAACAACAACAAAAACAAAAACAACAAUGUCAUGAAAAUUGUAUGCACAUGAAAGGGACACUGACUUACCCAGCUGAACUUUGGAGCGUGAAAAAUGUACAGAUAUCGGCACUCUUUAUUCACAUCA